rnacentral:tRNA from 1 species
GAAAGAGAUACAAUAAAAGCUGCUAACUUUUAUAACUGAGGCUAAAACCCCAGCUCUUUCAC